GCUGAUAGCACAGUGGUUACUGUGUCUGUGUAGAUUCACUCAUCUCCACCGCAUCUAUGCAGAAGGUGCCCCGUUCGAUUCGGGGUCAGGCCA